GUUACUGGCACAACGCUCUUAACCACUAAGCUACCUGCCGCACACACCUGAUUCCCAUCAAGUUAAUUUGUUUCCCUAUUUUACCUUCUGGUUUCCUCAUGGUGUUGUGCGUGAUUGUUCGUUGUUUUGCUGUCUUCUUGUGAGCUGGUAUUUUUCUUCCCUGCGUGGAAGAUAUGCUCUGUUACUUUUGUUAAGUAAAGUACGUUGUUUACUAAGUUCUGUGUCCUGCGCCUGAUUCCGUCCUACCGCUUCACACUGACGCAUGACAGCACCAUGUGAGUUAUCUUCUAGUCACUGUAAUUCUCUACCUUGUAUUUGAAGCAGUUUAGCAGGAAGGCCACCACAGAGUUGAUAAGUGCAUGAGAAAACAAUAUUUACUAUGUGAUUCAUCGGUUUCUGAUUCUUUGUCUCAUUUGCAGCUCCAUUUUGUCCAGAAGCCUACUAGUUAAAGAUGGAGCAAUUGUGGGACACCACCACUUGUGAACACCUACUCAACCACUAAAAUGUUUCUGCAACUACCUCACCUGGAAGUGUCACAGAUCAGAGGUAAAUGGCCUACAGUAACAUUAUAGUAUUUCAAAACGUUGAAGCAUUCACAUCAAAACAGUGGACCUUAUUUUGUAGU